rnacentral:rRNA from 1 species
ACGAACGCUGGCGGCGUGCCUAAUACAUGCAAGUCGAACGGUCUUUCUAUGGAAGCUUGCUUCCACUGAGAAGAUAGUGGCGAACGGGUGAGUAACACGUGGGUAACCUGCCCAUAAGAGGGGGGAUAACAUCCGGAAACGGGUGCUAAUACCGCAUAGUUUUCUUGAUCGCAUGAUUGAGAAAGGAAAGACGGCCUUUGUGCUGUCGCUUAUGGAUGGACCCGCGGCGUAUUAGUUAGUUGGUGAGGUAACGGCUCACCAAGACGAUGAUACGUAGCCGACCUGAGAGGGUGAUCGGCCACAUUGGGACUGAGACACGGCCCAAACUCCUACGGGAGGCAGCAGUAGGGAAUCUUCCGCAAUGGACGAAAGUCUGACGGAGCAACGCCGCGUGAGUGAAGAAGGUUUUCGGGAAUCGUAAAACUCUGUUGUCAGAGAAGAACAAGUUGGAGAGUAACUGCUCCAGCCUUGACGGUAUCUGACCAGAAAGCCACGGCUAACUACGUGCCAGCAGCAGC